GACAGAGGGUGCAAACGUUGUUCGGAAUUACUGGGCGUAAAGCGUGUGUAGGCGGCCGCGAAGGUCGGAUGUGAAAUCCCCGGGCUCAACCCGGGAAGUGCACCCGAAACCGUGUGGCUCGAGUACCGGAGAGGUUGGUGGAAUUCUCGGUGUAGAGGUGAAAUUCGUAGAUAUCGAGAGGAACACCGGUGGCGAAGGCGGCCAACUGGACGAGUACUGACGCUGAGGUGCGAAAGCGUGGGGAGCAAACAGG
rnacentral:rRNA from 1 species